CAGAGUGGAUCCUGAGUACGGCGGAACACGUGAAAUUCCGUCGGAAUCCGGGAGGACCAUCUCCCAAGGCUAAAUACUCCCUAGUGACCGAUAGUGAACCAGUACCGUGAGGGAAAGGUGAAAAGCACCCCGGAAGGGGAGUGAAACAGUUCCUGAAACCGUGUGCCUACAAGUAGUUAGAGCCCGUUAAUGGGUGAUAGCGUGCCUUUUGUAGAAUGAACCGGCGAGUUACGAUUUGUUGCAAGGUUAAGCGGAAAAAGCGGAGCCGUAGCGAAAGCGAGUCUGAAUAGGGCGCAUAAGUAACAGGUCGUAGACCCGAAACCAGGUGAUCUACCCAUGUCCAGGAUGAAGGUAAGGUAAUACUUACUGGAGGUCCGAACCCACGCACGUUGAAAAGUGCGGGGAUGAGGUGUGGGUAGCGGAGAAAUUCCAAUCGAACUUGGAGAUAGCUGGUUCUCUCCGAAAUAGCUUUAGGGCUAGCCUCGAGGUAAAGAGUCAUGGAGGUAGAGCACUGUUUGGACUAGGGGCCCUUCUCGGGUUACCGAAUUCAGAUAAACUCCGAAUGCCAUGUACUUAUACUCGGGAGUCAGACUGCGAGUGAUAAGAUCCGUAGUCGAAAGGGAAACAGCC
rnacentral:rRNA from 1 species